UGGGAAGAGCACAGCGACGGCGACGACGGCCGCGACGGCCAGGAAUUCGAGAAUGGCGAGCGAGACGAGAACCUGCGGAAAUCUGCGGAUGGACGGCGACCAGGUGCAGCUGCUCGCGAGCUACGGGCAAUAAGACACAUCUCUUCAGUCUCCGUUUACAUACAUGUUCGACUUUCACAUCUCCGCAGUAUUGAAUGAAGAUUGAAACAUUAAUGCCGCAAUAUAUUCAGAGAUUAAAAUAGAAAAAAAAAUACAUUAAUAUUAUGUUUUUAUACGUUUGAUAAUGAUUUGUGAUGUAAAUUGGAAUUAAGAAUAGUGCGUCAUGUAUUACGCUAUAUAUUUCAUAUGUUUAUACGUCAUUAUAUUAGUUACGUUACGAACGUAUACAGAAACUGAGAGCCAUUCAAAGCCUCAAGGCAAGGAUUAAAUAUAUUAAUAAAUUGUAUAUAUAAAAUUACACGCGCGAAAGUAUGUGUAUACACGUCAUUAAAAAUAUUCGCGAAUAAAUGGCGCGUUCGAAGCGUAUAUAUAAU